GGCAGUUAUCACCCGGCAUAGGUACCAUCACUGCCCAAACCAUACCCUUAGCCAGUAUUGUUUUGUCUGAGCAAGAAUGCAACCUCAAAAUCUCUGUCAACACAGUUCUCUAGGAAUUCACAACCAGUUUUUAGAAUUUAGGUUUUACAGUUGUAGAUUGAAAGGUAAUCAAUAAAUUAGUUUAUUGACUACAGAAAAUCAGAGACAUAGUUUAAUAUUUCUAUAGUUACAAUGAAUCUUUGUCUUACAAAAUGUGCAAUGUAGGUUCCUGCUAACCCAGAAAGCUAGGUUAACCCUAAAGUGACCGGUUCUAGGCUGAGCCAAUCACAGUCCUUGCUGGGUCUCUUCUGCUGGGGUGUCAAAUGAGAUUGUUUCUACUGGAGAUGCUAGGUCAGGAAGGUAUAAGGAAGGCGCUCGUGGUGGAAGACAUCAUGUGAGCUCAGCCAAGAGAUGGAGAGAGAGACAGAGACAGAGACCUUGGGUCCAAGCAAGAUGGACCACUUCCUAGGCAUGCACGAGAGCCAAUAAAUUUAUUUUUCUGUCCCCGUAGGCUAGUUUAAAGUUGAACUGGUAACCAACAGACUUCUAACUAAUAGAAGAACAUUUAAAAAAAUAUAUCAAAGGUAUAUUUUUACUCUAUAGAGCUAUUUUCUAAAGUUCCAACAGUUGGACGCAUGCUUAAUACUGAGGAGAUACAUGAUUCAUAUAAGGGGAUAAUAUUUACUGAGCUUACCAUGUGCUAGGUAUUGUUCUAGGCACUUAGCAUGUAGUGAAUCAUUUCAUUCUCAUAAGAUCAUUGGAGGUGGGUAUUACUAGCAUUAUUAUACAGAUGCGGAAACCCGCACACUGAACACUUGUCCAAGGUCACAGAGCCUAUAUUUGAAUCAGAGUCUGUGCUCUUAGCCACUAAGCCAGUACUUAGAGCCUGGUUCUCUCCUCUCAAUGGGAAAGUCUUUCAUAAUUACGUCUAAUAACAAAAGAGAACAGGCACAGUAUCCUUUCUCCUUUCCAUGCCUCAUAGGCCUCCCUGGACCCUGAGUGCUGUUCUAACUUCCAAAGAUGAGCAGGAGAGUCUGGUCCCCCUUUGUAGGGGUGCUGACGGCUCUGACGCCAUCGUUGGCUCGCCAUCUUCUUCACGCCUGCGCAGUGACCUCCCUCGGAGCUACGUGUUCCAGGCCCUAAGAGGUUAAUGUAAGCCCUGAUCACAAUGAGAGAAGGCUUGUUCUGAUCUUCCCUAAAGUGGCGCACAGAAGGGCCCGCUGUAGAUAACUAGUAGAGAUCCUCUGGAGCACAGAUGGUGCCACUUUAAAUAACUACGCUGUGACCUCACCACUGUGCCCCUCCCUCUAUAAAAGCUGGGGGUAAGGCCCUGGCAGGGUGGAGAGUCGUCGUGCGGUCUUUGGAUUGUUUGCCUGCUGGAUUCUUCUUGUCAUCAGGUCCUUGGGAUUAGUUGGGGCCACCGGCUCUUUAUGCACAAGUGCCUAGAGUUACUGACUAGCAAACCUCAGAGCAAAACUGAGCGUCUGUCCUGCCUGAGCAGCAGAGCCCGGACCGUCUCUCCAUUUCCAUGUACAACACCGUCUUCAGAAGACGCGGGGUGAGGAUGCAUCCCCCAGAAUAAAUUCUAGUCAAUUCCAAGAUGUGGCAUGUGAGGCCAUUGGUGAAAUGCAAGCUCCUGGGAAAUCAAGCUGAUGCUGGAGAGACAGACCAUGAACAGGGGAGGGUCAGAGAAAGAGGGAGACACAGAAUCCGAAACAGG